UACGUAGGGGGCGAGCGUUGUCCGGAUUUAUUGGGCGUAAAGGGCGCGUAGGCGGUUUCUUAAGUUUGAAGUGACAGUGGGUGGCUUAACUACUCAAGGCCUUUGAAAACUGGGGAACUUGAGGACCAGAGAGGGACAUAGAAUUCCGGGUGGAGUGGUGAAAUGCGUAGAUAUCCGGAGGAAUACCAAAGGCGAAGGCAGUGUCCUGGAGGGUUAACUGACGCUGAGGCGCGAAAGCUAGGGGAGCGAACAGG
rnacentral:rRNA from 1 species